AAUGAAACUUUCUAGGGUUCCGCUACUCAGUAGGUCUGGUCCGAGGGAAAGUGCAGCUUUUUCUAGUGCUGUUCACGGAGGGAAAAAAGCCCGGGAGAU
rnacentral:sRNA from 2 species